rnacentral:rRNA from 1 species
UACGUAGGGUGCGAGCGUUAAUCGGAAUUACUGGGCGUAAAGUGUGCGCAGGCGGCCGCGCAAGUCGAGUGUGAAAGCCCCGAGCUUAACUUGGGAAUUGCGCUCGAAACUACGUGGCUGGAGUGUGGCAGAGGAAGGUGGGAUUCCACGUGUAGCGGUGAAAUGCGUAGAGAUGUGGAGGAACACCGAUGGCGAAGGCAGCCUUCUGGGCCAACACUGACGCUCAUGCACGAAAGCGUGGGGAGCAAACAGG